CCUACGGGAGGCAGCAGUGGGGAAUUUUGGACAAUGGGCGCAAGCCUGAUCCAGCAAUGCCGCGUGCAGGAUGAAGGCCUUCGGGUUGUAAACUGCUUUUGUACGGAACGAAAAAGUCUGCCCUAAUACGGUGGGCCCAUGACGGUACCGUAAGAAUAAGCACCGGCUAACUACGUGCCAGCAGCCGCGGUAAUACGUAGGGUGCGAGCGUUAAUCGGAAUUACUGGGCGUAAAGCGUGCGCAGGCGGUUAUAUAAGACAGAUGUGAAAUCCCCGGGCUCAACCUGGGACCUGCAUUUGUGACUGUAUAGCUAGAGUACGGUAGAGGGGGAUGGAAUUCCGCGUGUAGCAGUGAAAUGCGUAGAUAUGCGGAGGAACACCGAUGGCGAAGGCAAUCCCCUGGACCUGUACUGACGCUCAUGCACGAAAGCGUGGGGAGCAAACAGGAUUAGAUACCCUGGUAGUCCACGCCCUAAACGAUGUCAACUGGUUGUUGGGUCUUCACUGACUCAGUAACGAAGCUAACGCGUGAAGUUGACCGCCUGGGGAGUACGGCCGCAAGGUUGAAACUUAAAUGAAUUGACGG
rnacentral:rRNA from 1 species